AGUAGAUCCAAUUUUUUGAGUUUUUUAUAGCAACAAUAUAGAUCUUCUUCUCUAUCAACAUUCGGCCUAUCUUCUCUUCUACCACUUUGUUCCACAGAUCUCCGUGAAAGAUAAGAUUCUUUCAAGAGAUACAACUACCACCUCAACUCCUUGGACCGCCGUAAUUCCUUACACCACCACCACUGUAGCUCUCUGCACCGCUACUCCAGAACUCCUUUCACCACCACCACCGGAACACCUUAACCACCACCGUCGGAACUUACACCACCACCGAUGCAACUCCUUACACCAUCACCGCCGGAACUCCUUGCACCGCCACUUGCAACUCCUUUCCAGUCACCGUCGCAACUCCUUGUAGCCGGAGCCUUCACAUCAACACCGGCCAUCGAAGCACCGUAUAUUAAAAUAGUUUUAUUUUUAUUUUAUAGAUUUUUAUAAUUAAUUUUGUAUAUGUAACAUAUAUUUGAUAGUUUAAUAUUAUUUGAAUUCAAUUUCUA